ACGAACGGUGGCGGCGUGCUUAACACAUGCAAGUCGAACGGAAAGGCCCUGCUUUUGUGGGGUGCUCGCGUGGCGAACGGGUGAGUAACACGUGAGUAACCUGCCCUUGACUUUGGGAUAACUUCAGGAAACUGGGGCUAAUACCGGAUAGGAGCUCCUGCUGCAUGGUGGGGGUUGGAAAGUUUCGGCGGUUGGGGAUGGACUCGCGGCUUAUCAGCUUGUUGGUGGGGUAGUGGCUUACCAAGGCUUUGACGGGUAGCCGGCCUGAGAGGGUGACCGGCCACAUUGGGACUGAGAUACGGCCCAGACUCCUACGGGAGGCAGCAGUGGGGAAUAUUGCACAAUGGGCGGAAGCCUGAUGCAGCAACGCCGCGUGCGGGAUGAAGGCCUUCGGGUUGUAAACCGCUUUCGCCUGUGACGAAGCGUGAGUGACGGUAAUGGGUAAAGAAGCACCGGCUAACUACGUG
rnacentral:rRNA from 1 species